CGGAGGAUCCAAGCGUUAUCCGGAUUUAUUGGGUUUAAAGGGUGCGUAGGUGGUUUUUUAAGUCAGGGGUGAAAGACGGCAGCUUAACUGUCGCAGUGCCUUUGAUACUGAAGAACUUGAAUUAACUAGAGGUAGGCGGAAUGUGACAAGUAGCGGUGAAAUGCAUAGAUAUGUCACAGAACACCAAUUGCGAAGGCAGCUUACUAUGGUUGGAUUGACACUGAGGCACGAAAGCGUGGGGAUCAAACAGGAUUAGAUACCCUGGUAGUCCACGCCCUAAACGAUGAAUACUCGAUGUUGGCGAUAUACGGUCAGCGUCUAAGCGAAAGCGUUAAGUAUUCCACCUGGGGAGUACGCCCGCAAGGGUG
rnacentral:rRNA from 1 species